rnacentral:rRNA from 1 species
CCUCAGUAACGGCGAGUGAAGCGGCAACAGCUCAAAUUUGAAAUCUGGCCCCCAGGGUCCGAGUUGUAAUUUGUAGAGGAUGCUUUUGGUGAGGUGCCUUCCGAGUUCCCUGGAACGGGACGCCAUAGAGGGUGAGAGCCCCGUCUGGUUGGACACCGAGCCUCUGUAAAGCUCCUUCGACGAGUCGAGUAGUUUGGGAAUGCUGCUCUAAAUGGGAGGUAUAUGUCUUCUAAAGCUAAAUAUUGGCCAGAGACCGAUAGCGCACAAGUAGAGUGAUCGAAAGAUGAAAAGCACUUUGAAAAGAGGGUUAAAAAGUACGUGAAAUUGUUGAAAGGGAAGCGCUCAUGACCAGACUUGGGCUUGGCGAAUCAUCCAGCGUUCUCGCUGGUGCACUUCGCCUCGUUCAGGCCAGCAUCAGUUUGUCCCGGGGGAUAAAAGCUUCGGGAACGUGGCUGCUUCGGCAGUGUUAUAGCCCGCUGCAUAAUACCCUGGGGUGGACUGAGGUUCGCGCUCCGCAAGGAUGCUGGCGUAAUGGUCAUCAGCGACCCGUCUUGAAACACGGACCAAGGAGUCGUCUUCGUAUGCGAGUGUUCGGGUGUCAAACCCCUACGCGUAAUGAAAGUGAACGCAGGUGAGAGCUUCGGCGCAUCAUCGACCGAUCCUGAUGUUCUCGGAUGGAUUUGAGUAAGAGCAUACGGGGCCGGACCCGAAAGAAGGUGAACUAUGCCUGUAUAGGGUGAAGCCAGAGGAAACUCUGGUGGAGGCUCGCAGCGGUUCUGACGUGCAAAUCGAUCGUCAAAUAUGGGCAUGGGGGCGAAAGACUAAUCGAA